rnacentral:rRNA from 1 species
GAUCAUGGCUCAGAUUGAACGCUGGCGGCAGGCCUAACACAUGCAAGUCGAACGGUAACAGGAAGCAGCUUGCUGCUUUGCUGACGAGUGGCGGACGGGUGAGUAAUGUCUGGGAAACUGCCUGAUGGAGGGGGAUAACUACUGGAAACGGUAGCUAAUACCGCAUAACGUCGCAAGACCAAAGAGGGGGACCUUAGGGCCUCUUGCCAUCGUGAUGUCGCCCAGAGUGGGUAUUAG